AGCCACAUCUUCUUGUGCAGUGCCAGCCUUGUCCGGUAGACAAAAUGGUGAAGGUCGGUGUGAUUGGAUUUGGCCAUAUUAGGCUCCUGGUUACCAGGGCUGCCUUCUGCUCUACACUUGGCAAAUUGGAGAUUGUUGCCAUCAACAACCCCUUCAUUGACAUCAACUACAUGGUCUACACGUUCCAGUAGGACUCCACCCAUGGUAAAUUCAAAGGCACAGUCAAGGCUGAGAACGGGAAGUUUGUCAUCAACGGGAAGCCAAUCACUAUCUUCCAGGAGCAAGAUCCUGCUAACAUCAAAUGGGGUGAUGCUGGUGCUGAGUAUGUUGUGGAGUCUACUGGCGUCUUCACCACCAUGGAGAAGGCCGGGGCCCACUUGAAGGGUGGAGCCAAACGGGUCAUCAUCUUCGCCGCCCCUUCUGCCGAUGCCCAAAUGUUUGUGAAGGGUUUGAACCAUGAAAAAUAUGACAACUCACUCAAGAUUGUCAGGCACGCAUCCUGCUUAGCCUCCCUGGCCAAGGUCAUCCUUGGUAACUUUGGCAUUGUGGAAGGGGUCAUGACCACAGUCCAUGCCCUCACUGCCACUCAGAAGACUGUGGAUGGCCCCUCUGGAAAGUUGUGGCGUGAUGGCCAUGGGGCUGCCCAGAACAUCAUCCCUGCAUCCACUGGUGCUGCGAAGGCUAUGGGCAAGGUUAUCCCAGAGCUGAACGGGAAGCUCACUAGCAUGACCUUCCAUGUUCCUAACACCAAUGUAUCCAUUGUGGAUCUGACACGAUGCCUGGAGAAACCUGCCAAGUAUGAUGACAUCAAGAAGGUGGUGAAGCAGGCAUCUGAGGGCCCACUAAAGGGCAGCCUGGGCUGCACUGAGGACCAGGUUGUCUGCUGCGACUUCAACAGCAACUCCCACUCUUCCACCUUUGAUGCUGGGGCUGGCAUUGCUCUCAAUGACAACUUUGUAAAGCUCAUCUCCUGGUAUGACAAUGAAUACAGCUACACCAACAGGGUGGUGGACCUCAUGGCCUACAUGGCCUCCAAGGAGUAAGAAACCCUAGACCACCCACCCCAGCAAGGACACUGAGAGCAAGAGAGUCCCUCGUUGCUGAGGAAUACCUGUCCCAACUUGGCCCCCAUCACUGAGCAUCUCCCUCACUAUUUCCCUCCCAGACCCCCAUAACAGGAGGGGCUUAGGGAACCCUCCCUACUCUCUUGAAUAUCAUCAAUAAAAUUUGAUGCACCCCC